rnacentral:rRNA from 1 species
CAAUAGCGUAUAUUAAAGUUGUUGCAGUUAAAAAGCUCGUAGUUGGAUUUCUGGUUGAAGCGACCGGUCGGGCGUUGAUUCGUCUGCACUGGAGUCGGUUUUGGCCAUCCUCUAGGAAAGUGCGUCUGGUAUUAAGUUAUCGGGCGUAUGAUCCUGGUCUUUUACUGUGAAAAAAUUAGAGUGUUUAAAGCAGGCCUUCGCCUUGAAUACAUUAGCAUGGAAUAAUAGGAUAGGACUUUGGUCUAUUUUGUUGGUUUGCAGACCGAAGUAAUGAUUAAUAGGGAUAGUUGGGGGUAUUUAUAUUCCGAUGUCAGAGGUGAAAUUCUUAGAUUUUCGGAAGAUAAACUUAUGCGAAAGCAUUUACCAAGGAUGUUUUCAUUAA